rnacentral:lncRNA from 1 species
CUGAGAUGAGUGUCUUUCAUGCCACAUGACACCCUUGAGGCCCGUGCAAGCUGUUGGCAUGUCAACAGUUAGCUGCUUCUCAUUGCUGAGUGGUGAUUGGUCCUGUCAUGGUUUAUUCAGCCAUGCGGUGGAUGGCUACUUGUCUUCUAAGCCACUUGCCUUCUGAUCGCUGGACUGACUCUCUCACCCUCUCUUGGUGCAGCCCUCGGGAGGCUCGUUCACACUUUCCGAGAUCACAGCCAUCAUCUCCCAUGGUACUACAGGCCUGGUCACAUGGGACGCCACCCUCUACCUUGCAGAAUGGGCCAUCGAGAACCCAGCAGCCUUCACUAACAGGUGACCUCGGGGCACAGGGCAGGGCACCAAGGCAGGCUUACCCUGGUGCAGUCGAAGACACGCUCCCCUUUCUUCCCACCAGGGGUGUCCUAGAGCUUGGCAGUGGCGCUGGCCUCACAGGCCUGGCCAUCUGCAAGAUGUGUCGC